GUCAAUGGCCCUACCACCCCGAGUGAGUCCAAUCUCAUUUGAUCUCAGAAGCUAAGCAAGGUUGGGACUGGUUAGUACUUGGAUGGGAGACCCAAUAUAGUCAAUAUGGCCAUACUUC
rfam:Fukomys damarensis contig152295, whole genome shotgun sequence.